rnacentral:rRNA from 1 species
GUGGUCAAGCUAAUAAGGGCUCAUGGUGGAUACCUAGGCACACAGAGGCGAAGAAGGACGUGGUUACCUGCGAAAAGUUCCGGGGAGUUGGAAGCAAACAGAGAGCCGGAAAUAUCCGAAUGGGGCAACCCUGAACACUGCCUGUUGAAUAUAUAGACAGGAAAGAGCGAACCUGGCGAAUUGAAACAUCUUAGUAGCCAGAGGAAAAGAAAUCAAAAGAGAUUCCCCGAGUAGUGGUGAGCGAAAGGGGAAGAGCCUAAACCAAGGGGUAUACCUCUUGGGGUAGUGGGACAGCAACAUCGAAUCCAGAGACUAGACGAAGCAGCUAAAUACUGCACCAGAGGGGGUGAAAGUCCUGUAGUCGAAAGUCAAAGGAUAGAAGCUGAAUCCCGAGUAGUACGGGGCACGAGAAAUCCCGUAUGAAUCAGCGAGGACCAUCUCGUAAGGCUAAAUACUACUGUGUGACCGAUAGAGAACAAGUACCGCGAGGGAAAGGUGAAAAGAACCCCGGGAGGGGAGUGAAAAAGAACAUGAAACCGUGAGCUUACAAGCAGUGGGAGUCCGAUUAAACGGAUGACCGCGUGCCUGUUGAAGAAUGAGCCGGCGACUUAUAGGUACUGGUAGGUUAAAGCGGGAAUGCUGGAGCCAAAGGGAAACCGAGUCUGAAAAGGGCG